rnacentral:lncRNA from 1 species
AACAUCUUUUGAGCCACAGACUUCUUUGUUACCAGAAGGAAAAUGAAAGAAGAAAUUUAAAUACCACUUGAAGAGAGCAGCCCAUCCUCCUCCCCUGGACUCAAGCUCUCAUUCCAGUAACACUCCUUCCUCCUUCUCCAUCUUCAGGGGGAGGUUUGCCAGUCGGUGCUGCCCAGUUCAUGAGUGCUGCUGCUGUCCUGCCCAAGUACCCAGCUUGCAGAGUGCCAGAGUUAGAGUCCCAGGGGUGUUCUCCACAGCUGCAUGCUUGAUCCAGGCCUAUCAGAUAUAUUCCAUUGAAAGUCCUCAUUCUCAAAUUUAAAACAAAGACUUUUUGUGUACCUCAAUAGCAAUGCACACACAGUUGGCUUCACAAACAUAUUGUACAUUUCUUUUUUUCAUAUUUAUUCAACAAAUGUAUAUUGACUACCCACCGUGUGACAGGUGUUAUUUGUUGACGGAACCAGGCAUCAUCAGCAAACAAAACUGACAAAGCUUCCUGCCCUCUGUGGAAGGCAUCUGAGGAAGAGACUGGAUUUUGUAGCAACAUGUUAUUCUCAUUAUAAACUUUAUCAUUGGAAUACUAAAGCCAAAUCAUCCCCCAUCUCCUUGAUCAGGAUACCCACUUAAUCUAGGCAGCUACACAAUUGUGAGAGCCUUUGUUUUUUUCUGCUGAAACAUCCUUAAAAAGAUACCUCACAACCCAAGAUUUGGCUUUUCUUAAAUACGAUUUUUAAUUUUUUUCAUUUCUAUCUAGAGAUUUAAUUGGAAAUGGAAAAUCAUCAAUUUUCCAAUUAAAUGUCUGUUCCAAUCAACAUUAUACCUUUUAGGUUGUCAUUGUCAUUUUUAAGUUUAAGCAACUUUAAGGAUUUUGAAUCUGGCUGCCUGUAAAUUAAAGGUGAAAGUAAUCAUUGUGUUGGAUUGGAACAUUUUGUCAAUUGAGAGUGGUUUCCUUGUUCUUAGUGUAUGAAAAGUUUAUUUUUCUAAUGUAGAUUAAUAAAGGAGAUAAAGAAAAACAAAAUGAGU